UGAGCAAUCUGCCCUUCUCAUCGGAAUAAGCGUUGGAAACGACGUCUAAUGCCGAAUACGACCUCCUUUCGCAUGAUCGGAGGUGGAAAGUUCCGGCGGAGAAGGAUGAGCUCGCGGCCUAUCAGCUAGUUGGUGUGGGUAAUGGCCCACCAAGGCGACGACGGGUAGCCGGCCUGAGAGGGUGACCGGCCACACUGGGACUGAGACACGGCCCAGACUCCGUACGGGAGGNAG
rnacentral:rRNA from 1 species